rnacentral:misc_RNA from 1 species
AACGCACGAGACCUGCGGACCUGCGGAGGGAUCAUUAACAAAUCUGGAUGUGGGAUUGUGUGAUUGAUGGGAGGAUUUGGAUGGAGGAAGAGGGUUGGGGGAUGAGGGAAGAGGGUUGCAUGUUGUGCAUCCCCUCUCCAUCUCCACUCACUCACUCUAUUAACCACCCACAAUCCACGGUCAACCAUACAUUGACUCGGGCUCGGUGGUCGGGUCGGUCGGUGGUUAUGACCUAGCUGC